rnacentral:rRNA from 1 species
UACAGAGGGGGCGAGCGUUGUUCGGAAUUACUGGGCGUAAAGGGCGCGUAGGCGGCCAACUAAGUCAGACGUGAAAUCCCUCGGCUCAACCGGGGAACUGCGUCUGAUACUGGAUGGCUUGAAUUCGGGAGAGGGAUGCGGAAUUCCAGGUGUAGCGGUGAAAUGCGUAGAUAUCUGGAGGAACACCGGUGGCGUAGGCGGCAUCCUGGACCGAGAUUGACGCUGAUGCGCGAAAGCCAGGGGAGCAAACGGG